rnacentral:rRNA from 1 species
UUACCAGACUCCUACGGGAGGCAGCAGUGGGGAAUAUUGGGCAAUGGGCGAAAGCCUGACCCAGCAACGCCGCGUGAAGGAAGAAGGCUUUCGGGUUGUAAACUUCUUUUGACAGGGAAGAGCAGAAGACGGUACCUGUCGAAUAAGCCACGGCUAACUACGUGCCAGCAGCCGCGGUAAUACGUAGGGAGCAAGCGUUGUCCGGAAUUACUGGGCGUAAAGGGAGCGUAGACGGCGACGCAAGUCUGGAGUGAAAGCCCGGGGCCCAACCCCGGGACUGCUCUGGAAACUGCGUCGCUGGAGUACGGGAGGGGCAGGCGGAAUUCCUGGUGUAGCGGUGAAGUGCGUAGAUAUCAGGAGGAACACCGGUGGCGAAGGCGGCCUGCUGGACUGCAACUGACGUUGAGGCCCGAAAGCGUGGGGAGCAAACAGGAUUAGAUACCCGCGUAC